UUCCAGGAUUCAAGGAAUUUACGAGUCCAAAUGUCUGAGGCUUUUGCAUGGAAAGGAAGAAUCUGGGAGUCCCUGGAUGCUCUCCUCCUCACCGCACCUCCCCCAGGAGACUCUCCUUGGCCUGCCCUCCAGGGCGGGGAGUUUGUCCUUUAGAGGGGCUGGGCCCCUUCUUUCAUUCAUGCGGCAAAUAUUUAUAAGGCGGCUUCGUCUGUCAUAGGCUCUGGGGGAUGAAAUGGUAGCAAAAGCAGCUCUUUGUAUGGCUUAUAGUCUCGAAGGGCACAAAGACACUCAGACAAAUCGGUGGCGGAUAACUGAUGACACUGCUCCCUCUUCCAAGCUUCUGUUGAGAUGUGCCUCUUCUGAAAGACGGGCCCCCACCCCAGAGUGGGCAAGAAGCUGUCAUCCACGGAGGUCCGGGAACCGAGCUCGGCACUUUGGACGUGUCGUCUCACGUAGCCUUCGGUGCCCCCUUGUGAGCUGCCAACCGAUUCUGUUUUACGGACAAGGAAACCGAAGCUCCCCGCAAGGGGGGAGGUGAUUUGCCACAAGUCACAAAGCUGGUGUCCACCUGCCUGGCCGUCGCCACAUCUGCAUCAGUGCCCGUCAGUACCUGUGUUACCUCUCCAGAAGCUCCAG